AAUGGGCGCAAGCCUGAUCCAGCCAUGCCGCGUGAGUGAUGAAGGCCCUAGGGUCGUAAAGCUCUUUCGCCUGUGAAGAUAAUGACGGUAGCAGGUAAGGAAACCCCGGCUAACUCCGUGCCAGCAGCCGCGGUAAUACGGAGGGGGUUAGCGUUGUUCGGAAUUACUGGGCGUAAAGCGCGCGUAGGCGGAUUAGUCAGUCAGAGGUGAAAUCCCAGGGCUCAACCCUGGAACUGCCUUUGAUACUGCUAGUCUUGAGUUCGAGAGAGGUAAGUGGAAUUCCGAGUGUAGAGGUGAAAUUCGUAGAUAUUCGGAGGAACACCAGUGGCGAAGGCGGCUUACUGGCUCGAUACUGACGCUGAGGUGCGAAAGUGUGGGGAGCAAACAGGAUU
rnacentral:rRNA from 1 species